UCCCUGGUGGUCUAGUGGUUAGGACUUGGCAUAUUCACUGCUGAGGCAUGGGUUCAAUCCCUAGUCUGGGAA
rnacentral:tRNA from 1 species